GACGAACGCUGGCGGCGUGCCUAAUACAUGCAAGUCGAGCGAAUGACGAGAAGCUUGCUUCUCUGAUUUAGCGGCGGACGGGUGAGUAACACGUGGGCAACCUGCCCUACAGAUCGGGAUAACUCAGGGAAACCUGGGCUAAUACCGGAUAAUCCUUCGAAUCACACGUUUUGAAGUUGAAAGGCGCUUCGGCGUCACUGUAGGAUGGGCCCGCGGUGCAUUAGCUAGUUGGUGGGGUGACGGCCUACCAAGGCAACGAUGCAUAGCCGACCUGAGAGGGUGAUCGGCCACAUUGGGACUGAGACACGGCCCAAACUCCUACGGGAGGCAGCAGUAGGGAAUCUUCCACAAUGGACGAAAGUCUGAUGGAGCAACGCCGCGUGAGUGAUGAAGGUUUUCGGAUCGUAAAACUCUGUUGUAAGGGAAGAACAAGUACGUUAGGAAAUGAACGUACCUUGACGGUACCUUAUUAGAAAGCCACGGCUAACUACGUGCCAGCAGCCGCGGUAA
rnacentral:rRNA from 1 species